rnacentral:misc_RNA from 1 species
AUUUUAUUCUCAGGACAGUAGUUGGACCUAGACACCAAGCCUGUUGAGGAUAUAGGUCCAAAAAAUCAUUAAGCUAGUGGCUUUCUCUGGGCAAAGGCCCAAUUGACUGUACGAAAAGAAUUAAAGUUGCCAAGUUGGGCAGGACUCACUCUGGAGGUUUGAGGCUUGCUUUUGCAAUUGUAAUUCUAGGGUUUAUACAUCGCCCUAUUUUCUCUCCGUUUACCACCGAAUAACAGUAUCGCAUACCAUCGAGAGCCAUGGAUUCUUUUUCGUCACCGUCAAUUGGAUCGGGAUCGUCUAAUAUGUCAACCUCGGAUCUCAUGGACCAGUUGAAGACUCAGCUCGCCCAGGCUUACGCUCAGGAGUUCCUCGAGACUGUUAGGGGGAAAUGUUUUGAGAAGUGCAUCACAAAACCAAGUUCAAGCCUGAGUGGGAGCGAAAGUAGCUGCAUCUCCAGGUGUGUGGACCGUUACAUAGAGGCUACUGGGAUUGUUAGCAGAGCUCUUUUCAAUGCACCACACUGAAUUGAGUAGAAAGUUCUCCAGAAGAAUGCACCACAUUGAGAGAUUUUGCUUUCAUACUUGUAUCCAUCUCAAAUAUUUUGCCAUGGGACAAAUAUUUUCAUUGCCUUGAGUACUAAUUUAUGUGCAGCCAUUCGAAACUGUGUUGCCUCUGAGCUUGUUGCCAUUUAUUCUGCUAGUUCUAAAAGCAUAGCUUGGGAUAUUACAAUGUUAGUGGAGUGGAAUGGUUAUUUUUUAAGUAUGCCAGUAAGAAUAAAUUUUGCUAUUAUGAUUUGAGAAUGCAAAUAUAAUUGACAAAAAGCAUGACAAAAAAGUGCAAAAACUACAGUUUCAGCCUAAACAUAAAUCCUGAUUGCUAAAGUUUUUCUUGUCUCUUGAUUAUGCUUUUCUUUUUGUUUUUCAUAUCAUGCGAAGCUAUUUUCCAACAUAAGCCAAUUUGUGUCCGCGUGUUGUAUAGUGACCUCUUGAGAAUACUCAAAACUCGUCCUUCCAUCAAGAAUGGAAAGGACCUUGUUGCAUUCUUAAUGUUCAUGCUGAUGUGUCUCCAUUGCAGAGGCACCCAGGCUUUUCCGACGCCUUAAAUUAGUUGUUAUUGUGCACCUGGCUAGCUUGUGAGACAGCGUUUUAAAUGCUCUCAAAGUGCAUUGCAGAGUAGUCCCCGGGCCAGACACUCUACUGAAAAUGACUUACAGCCCAAGAGACUAACUGCCUGGCCUGAAUUCUUGUCUGACAGUACCCAACUCAGCCUGAUGUUGUCUACGAGGUUCUUGCAGUGAUCUAAUUUGUGAUCUUCGGCUAGUGAUGAGACCGAAGGAGCUGAUAUUUCGUUGUCUUUAGUAUGACCGACGUUGUCAAUGUCAAUGUCAGCAUAGCCGAGAAGAUCAUCGGCAUCGUCGUAUGUGAGGUCCAGCAGUUGCAGAUUAAAUUAAAUGGGCAAUAACCAUUCUCGAAUUUUACUGGAAAUCAUGUCAGAACUUGUCAUCCCUAAUUUCGGGGGUGCAGGUAUCCCGCGUAGAACUCUGAAGAGGACGCAUUGAUUCUUGUAAUGAAUAUCUACAAGAGACAAAAUCGGAAGGAGAGGUUCUAGUUUCCAGUUUAGAAGAUCUAUGGUUGGCAGCAAAGUCGUAGAAUAUCAAUGGAUAGGAAUCGAUGAAGAAGCACUUGCACAGUGAAGGCCAUGCGAGGUGGCAUAGGUGCUUCCACAAGCUGUGCGGUCGAGCAAUGCACGGAGAACCUGUGGUUCUUUUUUUUUAAAAGUCUUCAUUUAUUUUAUUACUAAAAACAAAAAAUAAUUUUAUAUUAUGUAUCUUGAAAUCUUUUAGAUGUGCUAUUCACUUUUUUUCAUUUUCAAUUAGUUAAG